CCUACGGGUGGCAGCAGUGGGGAAUAUUGGACAAUGGGGGCAACCCUGAUCCAGCCAUGCCGCGUGUGUGAAGAAGGCCCUCGGGGUGUAAAGCACUUUCAGUGAGGAAGAACGCCUGGUGGUGAAUACCCAUCAGGAAAGACAUCACUCACAGAAGAAGCACCGGCUAACUCCGUGCCAGCAGCCGCGGUAAUACGGAGGGUGCGAGCGUUAAUCGGAAUUACUGGGCGUAAAGCGCGCGUAGGUGGCUUGAUAAGCCGGUUGUGAAAGCCCCGGGCUCAACCUGGGAACGGCAUCCGGAACUGUCAAGCUAGAGUGCAGGAGAGGAAGGUAGAAUUCCCGGUGUAGCGGUGAAAUGCGUAGAGAUCGGGAGGAAUACCAGUGGCGAAGGCGGCCUUCUGGACUGACACUGACACUGAGGUGCGAAAGCGUGGGUAGCAAACAGGAUUAGAUACCCCAGUAGUC
rnacentral:rRNA from 1 species